rnacentral:rRNA from 1 species
UACGGGGGGGCAAGCGUUGUUCGGAAUUACUGGGCGUAAAGGGCGCGUAGGCGGCGACUCAAGUUAGAUGUGAAAGUCCUGGGCUUAACCUGGGGACUGCAUUUGAUACUGGGUUGCUUGAAUUCGGGAGAGGAUAGCGGAAUUCCCAGUGUAGAGGUGAAAUUCGUAGAUAUUGGGAAGAACACCGGUGGCGAAGGCGGCUAUCUGGACCGACAUUGACGCUGAGGCGCGAAAGCGUGGGGAGCAAACAGGG